GACGUAGGGGGCAAGCGUUGUCCGGAUUCAUUGGGCGUAAAGAGCUCGUAGGCGGCUUGGCAAGUCAGAUGUGAAACCCCCAGGCUUAACCUGGGGCCGCCAUCUGAUACUGCUAUGGCUAGAGUCCGGUAGGGGAUCGUGGAAUUCCUGGAGUAGCGGUGAAAUGCACAGAUCUCAGGAGGAACACCAGUGGCGAAGGCGGCGAUCUGGGCCGGUACUGACGCUGAGGAGCGAAAGCGUGGGGAGCAAACAGG
rnacentral:rRNA from 1 species